GAUGAAGAACGUAGUGAAAUGCGAUAAGUAAUGUGAAUUGCAGAAUUCAGUGAAUCAUCGAAUCUUUGAACGCAUCUUGCGCUCCUUGGUAUUCCUUGGAGCAUGUCUGUUUGAGUAUCAUGAGCAAAUCUCAAAGUCAAUUCCUUUUGUUGAUUCAAUUGGUUUUGCUUUGGACUUGGAGGCCUUGCAGAUUUCACAGUCUGCUCCUCUUAAAUGCAUUAGCUGGAUCUCAGUAAUUAUGCUUGGUUCCACUCGGCGUGAUAAGUAUCACUCGCUGAGGACACUGUUAAAAAGGUGGCCAGGAAAAUACUGAUUGAACCGCUUCUAACGGUCUAUUAAGUUAGACAAUUACCCUUAAGUUUGAUCUCAAAUCAGGUAGGACUACCCGCUGAACUUAAGCAUAUCAAUAAGCGGAGGA
rnacentral:misc_RNA from 1 species